rnacentral:rRNA from 1 species
UACGUAGGGGGCGAGCGUUGUCCGGAAUCAUUGGGCGUAAAGCGCGUGUAGGCGGUCCGGUAAGUCCGCUGUGAAAGUCGGGGGCUCAACCCUCGGAUGCCGGUGGAUACUGUCGGGCUUGAGUACGGAAGAGGCGAGUGGAAUUCCUGGUGUAGCGGUGAAAUGCGCAGAUAUCAGGAGGAACACCAAUUGCGAAGGCAGCUCGCUGGGACGUUACUGACGCUGAGACGCGAAAGCGUGGGGAACAAACAGG